CUCGAGACAAACAGACGCAGACCUGGACAGCCCAGAAUCCUGCCCACAGCACUGUCCGCAAGAACCUGCAGCAGGGAGACAUUCGGGCAAGACACAAAGGUCAGCAGAGCACGGCCUGCGCAAGGCCACCCCGCGGCUUGCCCUGCCUCCCUCCAGUGGG